rnacentral:lncRNA from 1 species
ACGGAUUAAAGCACUUUAUUGGGGGGGGGGUGGGGGGGGGGGGGGCUCCUGUGGGGCACACAGGGGUGCUAUGGGGCACACAGGGGCACUAGGGGGCACCCAUGGGUGCUAUGGGGACAACCAGGGGUCGCUAUGGGGGUUUCAUCAACACACAAACAAUAGGACUGAUGGCCUUCCCCCAUUGACUCGACCCAACAUUGGCCAUGGGGCAGCUGUGGGGCACACAGGGAUGCUAUGGGGCACAGAGAGAUGCUAUGGGGCAGCUAUGGGGACAACCAGGGGUUGCUAUGGGGUUUCAUCAACACACAAACAAUAGGAUUGAUGGCCUUCCCCCAUUGGGUUGACCCAACGUUGGCCAUGGGGCAGCUAUGGGGCACACAGGGAUGCUAUGGGGCAGCUAUGGGGCAGCUAUGGGGACAACCAGGGAUCGCUAUGGGGCUCUCCAACACAAAACAACCGGACUGAUGGCCUUCCCCCAUUGACUCAACCCAACGUUGGCCAUGGGGCAGCUGUGGGACACCUAUGGGGCACAGAGAGAUGCUAUAGGGCAGCUAUGGGGCAGCUAUGGGGACAACCAGGGAUCACUAUGGGGUUCCAUCAACACACAAACAAUAGGACUGAUGGCCUUCCCCCAUUGCCUCAACCCAACCCAAGACCCAACGAGGGCCAUGGGGCAGCUAUGGGUGCUAUGGGGACACCUCAAAGACAACCAGGGGCUGCUAUGGGCUCUCCUUAACAGAUAAACAAUGGGACUGAUGGCCUUCCCCCAUUGGGUUGACCCAACGUUGGCCAUGGGGCACCCAUGGGGCAGCUAUGGGGCAGCUAUGGGGACAAGCAGGGAUCCCUAUGGCCUUCCCCCAUUGCCUCAACCCAACCAAUCCCCCCCCCCAAUCCCCCACCCCCCAUCAUCUCCCACCCCCCCAUCAUCCCCCCAUCCCAACUUGUGGGUCGCUUCAUGGGGGGGGUUAUGGGGUUAUGGGGGGUUAUGGGUCCCCCUUCGUCCCCCCAUCCCAACUUGUGGGUCGUGUAAUGGGGGAGGGUUACGGGGGGGUUAUGGGUCCCCCUUCAUCCCCCCACCCCAACUCCUGGGUCGCUUAAGGGGGGGGUUAUGGGGUUAUGGGGGGGUUAUGGGGGGGUUAUGGGUCCCCCUUCAUCCCCCCAUCCCAACUCGUGGGUCGCUUAAUGGGGGGGGUUAUGGGGGGGUUAUGGGUCCCCCUUCGUCCCCCCAUCCCAACUUGUGGGUCACUUAAGGGGGGGUUAUGGGGGGGUUAUGGGGUGUGUGGGGGGGUUAUGGGGUUAUGGGGGGGUUAUGGGUCCCCCUUCGUCCCCCCACCCCAACUCGUGGGUCACUUAAGGGGGGGGGUUAUGGGGGGGUUAUGGGUCCCCCUUCGUCCCCCCACCCCAACUCGUGGGUCGCUUCAUGGGGGGGUUAUGGGGUUAUGGGGGGGUUGUGGGGGGGUUAUGGGUCCCCCUUCAUCCCCCCACCCCGACUCGUGGGUCGCUUAAGGGGGGGUUAUGGGGGGGGUUAUGGGUCCCCCUUCGUCCCCCCAUCCCAACUCGUGGGUCGCUUAAGGGGGGAGGGGUUAUGGGGGGGUUAUGGGGUGUGUGGGGGGGUUAUGGGGUUAUGGGGGGGUUAUGGGUCCCCCUUCGUCCCCCCACCCCAACUCGUGGGUCGCUUAAGGGGGGUUAUGGGGGGGUUAUGGGGUGUGUGUGGGGGUUAUGGGGGGGUUAUGGGUCCCCCUUCGUCCCCCCAUCCCAACUCGUGGGUCGCUUAAGGGGGGGGGUUAUGGGUCGCUUCACGGGGGGGGGGUUAUGGGUCCCCCUUCAUCCCCCCAUCCCAACUCGUGGGUCACUUAAGGGGGGGUUAUGGGGUGUGUGGGGGGGUUAUGGGUCCCCCUUCAUCCACCCACCCCAACUCGUGGGUCGCUUCAUGGGGGGGUUAUGGGGUUAUGGGGGGGUUGUGGGGGGGUUAUGGGUCCCCCUUCGUCCCCCCACCCCAACUCGUGGAUCUCUUAAUGGGGGGGUUAUGGGGUUAUGGGGGGGUUGUGGGGGGGUUAUGGGUCCCCCUUCAUCCUCCCCCCCAACUCGUGGGUCACUUAAGGGGGGGUUAUGGGGGGGUUAAGGGGGGGUUAUGGGUCCCCCUUCGUCCCCCCACCCCAACUUGUGGGUCGCCUAAGGGGGGGUUAUGGGGGGGUUAUGGGUCCACCUUCGUCCCCCCUCCCCCAACUCGUGGGUCGCUUAAGGGGGGGGUUAUGGGGGGGUUAUGGGUCCCUCUUCAUCCCCCCAUCCUGACUCGUGGGUCGCUUAAGGGGGGGGGGUUAUGGGUUUAUGGGGGGGUUAUGGGGGGGUUAUGGGGGGGUUAUGGGUCCCCCUUCGUCCCCCCACCCCAACUCGUGGGUCGCUUAAGGGGGGGGUUAUGGGGUUAUGGGGGGGUUGUGGGGGGGUUAUGGGUCCCCCUUCAUCCUCCCCCCCAACUCGUGGGUCACUUAAGGGGGGGGGUUAUGGGGUUAUGGGGGGGAUAUGUGGGGGUUAUGGGUCCCCCUUCGUACCCCCACCCCGACUCGUGGGUCGCUUCACAGGGGGGGGGUUAUGGAGGGGUUAUGGGGGGGUUAUGGGGGGGUUAUGGGUCCCCCUUCGUCCCCCCACCCCAACUCGUGGGUCACUUAAGGGGGGGUUAUGGGGGGUUAUGGGGUGGUUAUGGGGGGGUUAUGGGGGGGUUAAGGGGGGGUUCUGGGGCGGUUCGGGUCGCGGGGCUCAGCUGAUGUAGACGCGGUGGAAGUCGUGGGCCCCGAAGGCGGCGUUGCAUUUGGGGCACUUCCUCUGGCGGGUGUCGUAGCGGCUCUUGACGCACUCGAAGCAGAAGACGUGGAAGCAUUUGGUCAGCACCGCGUCCUUCUUGCGCGCGUUGCAGCACGGGCACGUCAGGCGGGCCUAUGGGGGGGGG